AAUCAACGCUGGCGGCGUGCCUCAGACAUGCAAGUCGAACGCGAAAUCCCGAGCAAUCGGGAAAGUAGAGUGGCGCACGGGUGAGUAACACGUAGGUAAUCUACCUUCGGGUGGGGAAUAACAACCGGAAACGGUUGCUAAUACCGCAUAAUGCAGCGGCACCUAAUGGUGACAGUUGUUAAAGCGGGGGAUCGCAAGACCUCGCGCCUGAAGAGGAGCCUGCGGCGGAUUAGCUAGUUGGCAGGGUAACGGCCUACCAAGGCGACGAUCCGUAGCCGGCCUGAGAGGGCGGUCGGCCACACUGACACUGACAUACGGGUCAGACUCCUACGGGAGGCAGCAGUCGGGAAUUUUGGGCAAUGGGCGAAAGCCUGACCCAGCAACGCCGCGUGAAGGAUGAAAUCCCUCGGGAUGUAAACUUCGCAAGAACGGUGAGAAUAAGCCGGUGUAAACACCACCGGCGAUGACGGUACCGUUUGUAAGCUCCGGCUAACUCCGUGCCAGCAGCCGCGGU
rnacentral:rRNA from 1 species